UUAAGUGAUAAUUGCCUAGGAGAUACACCUGUUCUCAUGCCGAACACAGAAGUUAAGCCCUAGAACGCCGGAAGUAGUUGGGGGUUGCCCC
rnacentral:rRNA from 1 species